rnacentral:miRNA from 1 species
UAGUGCUGCAAUGUAAACAUUGCAGUUUCUCGAAAACUGCAAUGAUUUACAUUGCAGGACUA